AUUGAACGCUGGCGGAAUGCUUUACACAUGCAAGUCGAACGGCAGCACGGGGGCAACCCUGGUGGCGAGUGGCGAACGGGUGAGUAAUACAUCGGAACGUGCCCAGUCGUGGGGGAUAACGUAGCGAAAGUUACGCUAAUACCGCAUACGAUCUACGGAUGAAGGCGGGGGACCGUAAGGCCUCGCGCGAUUGGAGCGGCCGAUGGCAGAUUAGGUAGUUGGAGAGGUAAAGGCUCACCAAGCCGACGAUCUGUAGCUGGUCUGAGAGGACGACCAGCCACACGGGGACUGAGACACGGCCCAGACUCCUACGGGAGGCAGCAGUGGGGAAUGUUGGACAAUGGGCGCAAGCCUGAUCCAGCCAUUCCGCGUGGAGGACGAAGGCCUUCGGGUUGUAAACUGCUUUUGUACGGAACGAAAAGGCUCUGGUUAAUACCUGGGGCUCAUGACGGUACCGUAAGAAUAAGCACCGGCUAACUACGUGCCAGCCGCCGCCGUAA
rnacentral:rRNA from 1 species